rnacentral:rRNA from 1 species
AUUGAACGCUGGCGGCAGGCUUAACACAUGCAAGUCGAGCGGAGAUGAGGUGCUUGCACCUUAUCUUAGCGGCGGACGGGUGAGUAAUGCUUAGGAAUCUGCCUAUUAGUGGGGGACAACAUUCCGAAAGGAAUGCUAAUACCGCAUACGUCCUACGGGAGAAAGCAGGGGAUCUUCGGACCUUGCGCUAAUAGAUGAGCCUAAGUCGGAUUAGCUAGUUGGUGGGGUAAAGGCCUACAAAGGCGACGAUCUGUAGCGGGUCUGUGAGGAUGAUCCGCCACACUGGGACUGAGACACGGCCCAGACUCCUACGGGAGGCAGCAGUGGGGAAUAUUGGACAAUGGGGGGAACCCUGAUCCAGCCAUGCCGCGUGUGUGAAGAAGGCCUUAUGGUUGUAAAGCACUUUAAGCGAGGAGGAGGCUACUGAGACUAAUACUCUUGGAUAGUGGACGUUACUCGCAGAAUAAGCACCGGCUAACUCUGUGCCAGCAGCCGCAGUAAGAC